rnacentral:rRNA from 1 species
GACGAACGCUGGCGGCGUGCUUAACACAUGCAAGUCGAGCGGAAAGGCCCUUCGGGGUACUCGAGCGGCGAACGGGUGAAUAACACGUGAGUAACCUGCCCCAGACUUUGGGAUAACCCUCGGAAACGGGGGCUAAUACCGGAUACGACACAGCUUCGCAUGGGGUCUGUGUGGAAAGUUUUUCGGUUUGGGAUGGGCUCGCGGCCUAUCAGCUUGUUGGUGGGGUGAUGGCCUACCAAGGCGACGACGGGUAGCCGGCCUGAGAGGGCGACCGGCCACACUGGGACUGAGACACGGCCCAGACUCCUACGGGAGGCAGCAGUGGGGAAUAUUGCACAAUGGGCGGAAGCCUGAUGCAGCGACGCCGCGUGAGGGAUGACGGCCUUCGGGUUGUAAACCUCUUUCAGCAGGGACGAAGCGUAAGUGACGGUACCUGCAGAAGAAGCGCCGGCCAACUACGUG